UGGGGAAUAUUGCACAAUGGGCGCAAGCCUGAUGCAGCAACGCCGCGUGAACGAUGCAGGUCUUCGGAUCGUAAAGUUCUGUUGCAGGGGAAGAUAAUGACGGUACCCUGUGAGGAAGCCCCGGCUAACUACGUGCCAGCAGCCGCGGUAAUACGUAGGGGGCUAGCGUUAUCCGGAUUUACUGGGCGUAAAGGGUGCGUAGGUGGUCUUUCAAGUCGGUGGUUAAAGGCUACGGCUCAACCGUAGUUAGCCUCCGAAACUGGAAGACUUGAGUGCAGGAGAGGAAAGUGGAAUGCCCAGGGUAGCGGUGAAAUGCGUAGGUAUUGGGAGGAACACCAGUAGAGAAGGCGGCUGUCUGGACUGCAACUGACACUGAGGCACGAAAGCGUGGGUAGCAAACAGG
rnacentral:rRNA from 1 species